rnacentral:rRNA from 1 species
CCAGCAGCUGCGGUAAUUCCGGCUCCAAUAGCGUAUAUUUAAGUUGUUGCAGUUAAAAAGCUCGUAGUUGGAUUUCGGGUGGGUUCUAGCGGUCCGCCUAUGGUGAGCACUGCUAUGGCCUUCCUUUCUGUCGGGGACGUGCUCCUGGGCUUCACUGUCCGGGACAUGGGCUCGGCGUGGUUACUUUGAGUAAAAUAGAGUGUUCAAAGCAGGCUUACGCCUUGAAUACUUUAGCAUGGAAUAACACGAUAGGACUCUGGCCUAUCUUGUUGGUCUGUAGGACCGGAGUAAUGAUUAAGAGGGACAGUCGGGGGCAUUCGUAUUUCAUUGUCAGAGGUGAAAUUCUUGGAUUUAUGAAAGACGAACUACUGCGAAAGCAUUUGCCAAGGAUGUUUUCAUUAAUCAAGAACGAAAGU